rnacentral:rRNA from 1 species
UACGGAGGGGACUAGCGUUGUUCGGAAUUACUGGGCGUAAAGCGCACGUAGGCGGAUUUGUAAGUCAGGGGUGAAAUCCCGGGGCUCAACCUCGGAACUGCCUUUGAUACUGCAAAUCUCGAGUCCGAGAGAGGUGAGUGGAAUUCCGAGUGUAGAGGUGAAAUUCGUAGAUAUUCGGAGGAACACCAGUGGCGAAGGCGGCUCACUGGCUCGGUACUGACGCUGAGGUGCGAAAGCGUGGGGAGCAAACAGG